rnacentral:rRNA from 14 species
GAGGGCAGGUUGGGCGCCUUGUGGGUAACUUCAGCACUUGCUGUGCAUGUAUAUUUAGCUGGUGGUGUACUGUUCUUAAGUUGUAGUAGGGUAUCAUUGUUGUGUUGUAUAUUAUGUAAAUAUAUUAGCUGGUGGUGUAUUGUUCUUAAGUUGUAGUAGGGUAUCAUUGUUGUGUUGUAUAUUAUGUAAAUAUAUAGAGUUAAAUUUGACCAAAACA